rnacentral:lncRNA from 12 species
GAGACACAUUUCUUUCCUUUCAAAUGAGACCCUGUGAUUCAAACAGCCAAUACUUCCAGAUUGUGAGAAACUUGAAGGGGGUAUAGACGUUUCCCUCCUGAAACUGCACCUAGAGAGAUGCCAUGAUGUGUGACACCAGACCUUCUGAACGGGUAUCAAGGCAGCUCAGUGACUUCCUCAUGGCUCAGACUGGUAAUGACAGCUGGGACAUGCAGAGCAGAGUGAUGGUGAAGAGCUUCGCUUCUGGAACCACAGAAUCCCUUGGCUUCCCAGAUGGCAAGGAUCUGAAUCGUAACUUCACUACUCAUGAGCUAGGCAACACUGUGAACAUCACCUGGCUCCCCCAGCCCUCCAGCUCUUCAUCUUAUUGUAAUAGGUUCUUUUAGGUUGUUGUGUCGGUCAAAUAAAAUAAUUGAUAAAAAAAAAGUACUUAUGGUU